UAAGCACGUAAAAUAUGUGCACAAUCAUCUAAAGAUAAGAAGAAACUAUAAGCGAAUAGCCAUCCAAUUGGCUCUAAAUUCUAAUUCAGGAGAUACAAGCAAUCUCAAAAGCGCUGUCGGACUCUUGAUUGGACCAAAUUCUCAAUUUCAUUCAACUAUUGAAGCAUAAAUUACACUAAUCAAUUCAAACUACACCGGUCCAAUUGGGAUAUAGUUCUCGAAAAACAGCUAAAAUUAAGCUUUAUUAUUGAAAAAGCCCAACUUAAAACCCUAAAUUACUGCACAAUCGCCAGUGAAACAACUAAUUUAAACGUAAAUUAUCCACAUCACACAUUCAAAAUUGCAAACAGCCUCAAUUCCAAUUAGAUCAAACAAAAAAUAAUCCAACUAAAAACCAAAAUCCCAAGUAAAAAAAGAGGUGGUGAUUGUGUUAAAAAAGAAGAUCUGUAUGGUGGAAACAGAAAAUUCAAACAAUUGUUGCUGAGGUAGUUUAGCAGCAGCAGUUGGUAACCAGUUGACAAAGUGAUUGAGUGGCAGAAAGCUUCCAACACAUCAUUGACUAUGUCAGGUAGCUACUUUAGAUGUUCAAGAGAGUCAAACACCAUGCUUAUAAGUUGUAAGUAACUUUCUGGUUUUCUUUUGGUUUGGUGAGGGGGAAGUGCAGGGACCUCAGACACAUCGGUAGUGACAUUUCAUCCAAAGUAUCAGUGUACGGCAGAAAAAUGUCAAUCCGGCUGUACACUUUUCUCUUAGAGCUCAAGAUGUCAAUCCGGCUGUACACUCAAGGGCGGAGAUAAUGUUUCUCUUAGAGAGACUACAAACGGACAACAGACUGAUGAUUGUUGAGGACAUGGUGCACAUGAUGUAGAGCUUCUUGUCAGGAAAACAUCAUAUUUGACGGUAGUCCAUGAGCAUGCUAGACAAAAUGAUGAAGUGCAGCACUUAGUUCUUAACAGGGGCAGUGUGGGCGUGGUCGACAUCCUCUGCAACAGCGUGAUCACUAUCCUCCUGAGCAGCAGCACCUUGAGCGACAUCCACUGCCGCAGGACCUUGAGCGACAUCCACUGCAGCAACAUCUUGAUUUACAGCCUCCUCACGAGGGGCAUCCUUGAUGACCACUUGUUUCAAGCACCAUUGAAGGGCAUUGCUUUUGGACAAGGACAUAGUUGGCCCAACUUCCAUCAGAACAUGCCUGGUGCUGAGAAGUUCGUAUGCUGACGCGAAGGUCCUAGCAUCAGCCUGCAAUGAAGGGUGAUAUUAGGCAUAUAUCAGUUACGUUUAAACAAUGUAUCAUGACACAUUCCAUUGCAUAUUAGGAGUAAUACGUA